rnacentral:rRNA from 1 species
AUGUAAAAAUUAAUAAAAUUAAAAAUAAUAAAAAAAUUUUUAAAAAUUAAAAAUUAAAUUAUUUUAAUGGGGGUUAAAGUAUUUUAAUAGAAAAAAUUUUUAAAUUUAUAGUGAAUUAGUAUUGUGAAAGAAUUUUGAAAUAAUUGAAAAAAAAAUUAUUAAAAAGUAAUUUUAAUUUAGUGUAUCUUGUGUAUCAGAGUUUAUUAAAAAAUAUUUUUUGAAGAAAAAAUUCUCGAAUUUAAGAGAGAUAAUUAAUUAAUAAAGUUAUUGUUGAAUAAAUAUUUUAAAUAAUUAAUUGGAAAUGAAAUGUUAAUCGUUCUUAAAUAUAUCUAGUUUUUUUAGAAAAAAAUUUAAUUUUAAAUUUAUAAAAUUUUAUUUAAUUAUUAAUUAUUAAAUUUUAAAAUUUAUAAAUUUUAUAAUUUAAGGGAUAAGCUUUAAAUUAAAUAAAUAUAAUUAUUUAUUAAAAAUUUUUGAAAAUUUUAUAAUUUAUAUUGUUAAUAAAUUUUAAUUUAUUAUAAAUAAUUUCAUUUUUAAUAAAAUUUAAUAUAAAAUUUAUUUUUUUUUUAUAAAAAAAUAUUUUAAAAUAUAAUAAAAAUAAAUAUAAUGAUAAAAUUAGUAUAGUAUAUUUAAAUUUCAAAUUUUAUAAAAAAAAAAAUUGAAAGUAUAAAGUAGAAUUAAUUUAAAGUAAUUCGGCAAACAUUUAUAUUCACUUGUUUAUCAAAAACAUGUCUUUUUGAAAAUAAUAUAAAGUCUAAUCUGCCCACUGAUUUUUAUUAAAGGGCUGCAGUAUUUUGACUGUACAAAGGUAGCAUAAUCAUUAGUCAUUUAAUUGAUGACUUGUAUGAAAGAUUGGAUGAAAUAUAGACUGUCUCUAAAUUAAAUUAUAGAAUUUAAUUUUUUAAUUAAAAAGUUAAAAUAAAUUAAAAAGACGAGAAGACCCUAUAGAGUUUUAUAAUUUUAUAAAUUAAAAUUAUUUUUAAAUAAGAAAAAUUUUAAUUUAUGAAAUUAUUUUAUUGGGGUGAUAGAAAAAUAUAAAUAACUUUUUUUAAAAUAAUAACAUAUAUAAGUGAUUAAAUGAUCCAAUUAUAUUGAUUAUAAGAAAAAAUUACCUUAGGGAUAACAGCGUAAUUUUUUUUUUUAGUUCAAAUAAGAAAAAGAGUUUGCGACCUCGAUGUUGGAUUAAGAUAAAAUUUAAAUGCAGAAGUUUAAAAUUUUUGAUCUGUUCGAUCAUUAAAAUCUUACAUGAUCUGAGUUCAAACCGGUGUGAGCCAGGUUGGUUUCUAUCUUUUAAAAUAUUAAAUAUUUUAGUACGAAAGGAUUAAAUAUUUAAAUUAAAUUUAAUUAAAUAGAAUUUUAUUAAUAAUAAAUUAAAAUAAUAAAAAAAAAAGUUUUUAUAAAAACUA